GAGGCCCUCCUCCAGGGAGUACAGGCAUUGCUUUGAAGUCACCCACAGUCCCAGUGGAAGUGUUGUUUGGCUGUUGGAGAAAAGGACUUUGCUUACCAGGAAAUGAAAGUCUUCGAGGAAAUGAAGGGCCAUAUCUCACAUCACCUGCCAGUGGUUGCAGGAGAGCCGGUGCUGCCCCGUCAGCCUGCUGCAUGGUCAGUCUUGAGGUGAAAUCACUCUGUGGCAGGGUCAACACGCUGCAGAUGGGAACUUCAGCACUGUAUGCCAGCUUAUACUGCCAGAAUAAUAUCCAGAGUGCAAACAAGAACUACUUAGAGUGAUGAAGCCUGAGCCAUGCUGUACCAUCUUCUUUUUGAAAGUGUUUUGAGGUCAGCAAAAGAAUCCAUUCUCCUAAGAGGAUACUAGAAUGCAAAAGCCAACUGACUCCACUGGCCUUGCUUUUGCUCGUGAAACAGAGGUUCACCUGUGCAUUGUGUGAUACAAAAACAUGGGUUCCUGGUACACUGUAAUUUUGU